rnacentral:rRNA from 1 species
UACAGAGGUGGCAAGCGUUGUCCGGAAUCAUUGGGCGUAAAGCGCGCGUAGGUGGCCUCAUAAGUCCGCUGUGAAAGUCAAAGGCUCAACCUUUGAAAGCCGGUGGAUACUGUGAGGCUAGAGUACGGAAGAGGCGAGUGGAAUUCCUGGUGUAGCGGUGGAAUGCGCAGAUAUCGGGAAGAACACCCGUGGCGAAGGCGGCACUCUGGGACGGUACUGACGCUGAGACGCGAAAGCGUGGGGAGCGAACAGG